CCCGUGCUACAACCGCGCGGAGCAGGUGUAAAGUGCCUAUUGGCCCCCUGUAUUCGGCGAGUCUGAGUUUAUUA
rnacentral:sRNA from 2 species